rnacentral:rRNA from 1 species
UACAGAGGGGGCAAGCGUUAUUCGGAAUUAUUGGGCGUAAAGGGCGCGCAGGCGGCCUGGCAAGUGGAAGGUGAAAUCCCUCGGCUUAACCGAGGAACUGCCCUCCAAACUGCUUGGCUUGAGUCCGGGAGAGGUGAGUGGAAUUCCCAGUGUAGCGGUGAAAUGCGUAGAUAUUGGGAGGAACACCAGUGGCGAAGGCGGCUCACUGGACCGGAACUGACGCUGAGGCGCGAAAGCGUGGGGAGCAAACGGG